rnacentral:rRNA from 1 species
GAUGAACGCUAGCUACAGGCUUAACACAUGCAAGUCGCGGGGCAGCAUGGGGGUUGCUUGCACUCCCCGAUGGCGACCGGCGCACGGGUGAGUAACGCGUAUCCAACCUGCCCUUCACCACGGGAUAACCCGGCGAAAGUCGGACUAAUACCGUAUGUUGUCCAUUGACGGCAUCCGAUUUGGACGAAAGGUUUGGCGGUGAAGGAUGGGGAUGCGUCCGAUUAGCUGGACGGCGGGGUGACGGCCCACCGUGGCGACGAUCGGUAGGGGUUCUGAGAGGAAGGUCCCCCACACUGGAACUGAGACACGGUCCAGACUCCUACGGGAGGCAGCAGUGAGGAAUAUUGGUCAAGGGGCGUAAGCCUGAACCAGCCAAGUAGCGUGCAGGAUGACGGCCCUAUGGGUUGUAAACUGCUUUUAUGCGGGGAUAAAGUGGCCCACGUGUGGGUUUUUGCAGGUACCGCAUGGAUAAGGACCGGCUAAUUCCGUG